ACCAAUGAUGUUACAAUCCAACUUGUCUGAGGUUGCAGUGUAUCCAAGUCCCUGUUUUUAGGGAGAACCUACUUGGUGUUGCUGCAUUCCAAUGGCAUCACAGGUUUAACUGAGGU